CACGUAGGGUGCGAGCGUUGUCCGGAAUUAUUGGGCGUAAAGAGCUCGUAGGCGGUCUGUCGCGUCUGCUGUGAAAACUCGGGGCUUAACCCCGGGCCUGCAGUGGGUACGGGCAGACUAGAGUGCGGUAGGGGAGACUGGAAUUCCUGGUGUAGCGGUGAAAUGCGCAGAUAUCAGGAGGAACACCGGUGGCGAAGGCGGGUCUCUGGGCCGUACCUGACGCUGAGGAGCGAAAGCAUGGGGAGCGAACAGG
rnacentral:rRNA from 1 species